AUGGAAUAUUGCAUCACAGUAUUCAUACUAGUUGCUUAUUUCAGUGUGUGCUCUGCAAAGGGGGACUUCGUUACUCAACCUAAAGAUGAGACGGGUCUGGAGGGCAGCAUGGUGACACUCAGCUGCCAGUAUGAGACCACUGCCUUAGCAUCUCAACAGUAUCUCUUCUGGUACCAGCAGAAAACAAACGGAUUCCCAAAAUAUAUUCUACAGAAACCAGUUUUAGGACAAGACAAUGGCCCAGAUUUUAAGAGGAGAUUCAAUGCUACACUCAACACAGACACAAAAGCUGUUAAUCUGACGAUCCAGGAUCUGCAAGUGUCUGACUCUGCUGUGUACUACUGUGCUCUGCAGCCCACAGUGACAGCUGCAGACUCAGCUCUCAUACAAAAACUGUCUUAG